AUUGAACGCUGGCGGCAUGCUUUACACAUGCAAGUCGAACGGUAACAGGCCGCAAGGUGCUGACGAGUGGCGAACGGGUGAGUAAUGCAUCGGAACGUGCCCAGUCGUGGGGGAUAACGCAGCGAAAGCUGUGCUAAUACCGCAUACGAUCUAUGGAUGAAAGCGGGGGACCGUAAGGCCUCGCGCGAUUGGAGCGGCCGAUGUCAGAUUAGGUAGUUGGUGGGGUAAAGGCCUACCAAGCCGACGAUCUGUAGCUGGUCUGAGAGGACGACCAGCCACACUGGGACUGGGACACGGCCCAGACUCCUACGGGAGGCAGCAGUGGGGAAUUUUGGACAAUGGGCGCAAGCCUGAUCCAGCAAUGCCGCGUGCAGGAAGAAGGCCUUCGGGUUGUAAACUGCUUUUGUACGGAACGAAACGGUCUGGGUUAAUACCCUGGGCUAAUGACGGUACCGUAAGAAUAAGCACCGGCUAACUACGUGCCAGCCGCCGCAGUAA
rnacentral:rRNA from 1 species